AUGGUAAUCCUAUGCAAAAUGCCUCUGCCCUAAACUCCUAAAGGAUGUUUUUAUAAUUGCAGGCAAAGUUGAAACAGCCCACAGGUCUGUAGACUUUGAGGGAAGCCAUGUGAUCAGGGUCCUCAGUGUGCAGUCUGCAAAGAGCCAGCCAGGAGCAAGUGCCAAUGAUUUGGAGAGAGCCAACAGAUCAUACCAGCAAUUGUUACUUCUGCAUGGUGCCUCCAGUUGGGAAAGGUGUGUCAAAGAAGAAAAAAUGGACUGUGCAUUAUCCAAACAUUCCAUCAGCUAUACGCCCAGUACCCCACGGAGAAGGACUGCCGGUUCCUGAUGCACCAGUAUCAUUCUCACUUGAGUCAGACGAGGAAGAGGAAAAGGAUGAAACUUCUGGUCCUGAACCAUCAAUGUCACAGGACCCACAUUUUCUCCCAUCCUCCUCCUCUGAAUAACACAAGGUGAACUGAAUGACCUUGUCAGGGAUUGGGAACUACCCAAGAGUAAGGCAGAGCUGUUGGGCUCCAGACUACAGCAGUGGAAUCUCCUGGCAGGUGAUGUUAGGGUUUCCAUGUUCCGUGACCGUCAAAAGGAUCUUGUCCCAUUCUUCUUCAUGGAAGGUGAUCUUGUAGCCUGCAACAACAUCGAUGGUGUGAUGGCAGCCAUCAACAUCGUUCACGAUCCAGAUGAGUGGAGACUGUUCAUUGAUUCAUCGAAGACGAGUCUUAAAAGGUCAUCGAGUCCAGCUCCCUGCCUUCACUAGCAGGACCAAGUACUGAUUUUGCCCCAAAUUACCAAGUGGCCCCUUCAAGGAUUGAACUCACAACCCUGGGUUUAGCAAGCCAAUGCUCAAACCACUGAGCUAUUCCUCCCCCAAUGUUUUAAUUGUCAUAUUUGAAUUCAGCACAUCAAAAUACAUAAUAAAUAGCACAUUUUAUCUCUGAAGCAGAUGACUUCUCAAAAAUUGUAGACCAGUGUUAUCAUAACCUAGGGUGACCAGAUGUCCUGUUUUUAAAGGGACAGUCCCGUUUUUAAGCCCCCCCUGCAGAUGUCCUGACUUUUUCUUAAAAGUGGGCAAACUGUCUCAUAUUUGCUGUCUCCCCCGCCAUCAGUACUUGUGGGUCCUGCUGCUGGCCGGAUCCCUGCUCGCCAGGCGCUAGCCCACCAGCGGUGAGUGUGUGUGUGUGGCAUCAUAGUCCUCUAUGAUAAAAGCCAUAUUUAUGGUUUCACAAACCACAGUGGCGGCAGAGGAAUGAUCUA